rnacentral:lncRNA from 1 species
CAGGAGAGGUGUAGAGAUGCAGCAACCGGGACAGAUGUUCCCAGUUAUGUCUUCAUUUCCACCUGCUAGUAUUACUACCGAGCAGAUUCAGAAGGUAUUCGUGUUUUGGUUUAUUUAUUUCUUUAAAUUGACGAAAAUUUUUGAUAUUUGCUUUAUUGGAAUAUGUUUGUGAGUAAUAAUGCUAGUCUGAUUAUCAUUUUUCCCCCUUUCUGUAUGGUGAUUAACUUAGUUAUGAGUUAUCUGGCCUAUCUAUCGUAAAUCUUCGCUGAAUAAUGAUUCAGCCAAGUAAAUAGUGGAAUUACUACUUCAAGGUGUAUAGAAGUAACCAUGGUUUAAAUUUUAGUUGAAAAUGCAAGUAUGUGGACGUAGACAUAAUCAGAAUUGCACCUUUGUUUCGUUUAGGAUGAAUAUAGAUUUAUGUACUUGAAUGAAUCUUUGCUUGGUCACCUCUAACUGUGUACAGUUGCUUAUAAGCUUUACCUGUCAAAAUUAUUCCAAGAUGAUGUAGGUUCCAUUUAACUAAUCGUCCACAAAUUCAUAUCUAAAUUGCAUUGAAGAACUUACCUUCCUUUUUGUGCACAAAAAAAUCCAAGCGAUGAUUGUAAAUUGCAUAAUCACAAUGAUACUCCCAAAUCUUUAUGUUAUGUCCAGCUAACUAUACAAAUGUGUGUGCACAUUUAGUAACUCAUCUAUCAAUUCAUUUCUGAAAUUCACAGUGAAUAAUUUGCCUUUCUGUUUACACUCAAUGAAUCAGAGUCUGCAAUGAUAGCGAACUGCAUUGCAACUUCUUGUCAGUAUAUCCUGCAAACAAUAAAUAUAUUUUUCCUAGACUGGUGAUCGAACUACUUCCUGUAUGAUGACCUUCUACACGAGACAAAUUAUCAUUGCUGGCUACUUGAUUUGUGGCAGUUUGCUCAACUAAUCUUGCUCAUUUUACCUUAGUUUCAGUUGUGGUAUUUAUCACUUGAAAAAGUUUUGGUUCACCGUAAUCCUUUUUGAUAUGUGGGUUCACUUUAUACAUCAAUUUACUACAGCUCUGAGACUUACGAGAACUAUAAAAUUGAAUUGGAAUAUCAAUGACGCUCAGUUACCUUAAGAAGACUUCACAUUACGAGGGCUGUUGUUGAAUGGAAUUAGUUGCUUCAUUAUGCUAAAGAGGCUUGCAUGCAUGUUUUUGCCUGACCUUAUGAACUAUUGUUUGUCCUCAAGUAAGAUAGUGACUUAACUCUAUAUAAAACAUGACUUUGACAACCUGUCGUGUCUCAGGAUUGGAAUUCAGUAAUUAACAUGAGAAACAAUUUCAACAGUGCAAAAAUAAAAUGAACCUUCACCUGUAAAUGCAUAACUCAACGCGUGUGUAUGAACUCAUAUCAACAUGUCAAGCUCAUGAUUGGUUUACUCCAGGCCCAUAGUGGUCAAAUAUAUCCUCUCUUCGCUCUAGAGAUACACACCUCCCAAAUUUAUUCUUUUCACUCAAUUAUCCCUGUGUAUGUUUUAAAGUUAGGAGCUUAAAUAACUGCAGUCCUUUCCCUCUCUUAGCUCAGAUAGGUUUCACUCUUAUAAGUUCACAUGUCACCAAGUAUAGGCUCUCCUAUUUUGAUUGCUUCAACCCUUAAGAUUAAAUUAAGCUACUUGACUCGCAUCAAAUGUGUAGUUUCAUCAACUAAAUGUCCAAGGGCUUUCUUCAUGUUAUUGCGUCUUUUAUUCACUUAGUUUCUGCUUUUUUUUUAUUUAUUUAUUUAUUUAUUUAUAUUGUCAUUUUCUUAUUUACUUUCUAUAUAACCUUUAUAACGAGUUUUUGGCCGAUGGCUUUCAAACCAGUUGCCUUUAGGGCAUCAAGUUUUAAACCUCUGCAGGCUUAUUCACUUGAACUAUAAGGGUUCGAUAAGAUAACUUUUUAUUAACUUCUGCCAUUUUUGCUUUCUAUAUGAUCCCUGUAGCGAGCUAGGUGGAUGGCUCCCAAAUUAGUUGGCUUUAGGGCACUAGGUUUCAAAAUACCCACACAGGCUUACUUCUUUGAGUCAUAAAGGCUUUGAGAGAUGUAACGUCCCAAUUUUCGUUAAAGACCAGAACGUUAUGAAGAACUCAUUUUUCUUUAUCCUAAAUGCGGAACUAUAAAAAUAAAAUUCUUUAUUAAACAAAUAACCGCAACAUUUGUAAAUCUAAAUUUAAAUUGUGAAAAUCAUAUCUAAACAUAAACAUAAACUUUUAACUAAUUUAAAUAACACAUUCUGAAUAAAUUAAACUAACUGGUAAAUUUAAAACGAUAAACUUAUUUCUUUUUCUCUAUUCUUUAUUCACUUGGCAGCCGCAUCACCAAAUCUCCACCAUUCCAAUCGACCCAAACUAACCUAUAAAAUUAAUGUAAGAGUGAGGAUUUAAAAAUACCCAGUAAGAUACGUGUAAUUUUCAUACACAAUUACAUAACAAAUAAAUUAUACACUUCAUACCGCUCUUCUCUAUGGAGUAUAUCGGUGACUAAGAGACACAUCCAUCUUAAGUGCUUUUAAAUUCUGAUAGAAAUAUCAUCUCUUUCUCUAGAACCCGAAGGUUCAUUAGUAAUCCAUGCAUAUUAAUUGUAUAUAAGAGCAUAAGAAAACUGAAAACAAUUUACACAUAAAUUUAUCUUAACUCGUUAAAAUUGAUUGACAAUCAUUAUCUACCCUUUUUCAAUAUUAAAUAUUAAAAUUGAUUGACAAUCAUUAUCUACCCUUUUUCAAUUUGACUUGGUAUUAGAAAUCUUGUCUACCCUAUUAUAUAAUAGUAACAUUGAAUAGUACAUAGAUAUUUUAGCAGGACUAAUUUAAGCAUUUAAAUAAUUUAAUGGUAUAUAAAAUUACGAUUAUUAAUAAUUAGCUUAAAUUAUAAUAAUUAGACGUCAUUAGCCUAGAAUAAAGAUUUCCGCACUUUGAUUAUUUAACUUGUUUGUUUGCAUAAGCAUGAUUAUCUUAAAUUUGAAAAAUGUUUAAUGACAUUCAAAUAAUCAGAUUUUUAUAAAACGAGAUUUAAUAAAUUGAUAUUGGACUUGUUGGAUAGAUCAUAUUAAAUCAUGUACUUUAGGCUCAAGAAAAAGAUAAUUCGGAUAAGUUACGUCUGAGAUAUUUAUGUUUAAAGAAAUGUCUAUUUAAUAGUAUUUUACUUAAAUGGGAUUUUGGCAUUUGAGCCGCCCAUGGUCCACGGGUGAAGGUGGAUAACUAUUAUUUAUUUUAAAAGUAUAUCCCAAAUAUUUAAUCCUAGUUUUAUAUAUGAAAUGAUUGGUUGGUUGAUUAAAAACCUAUCCUAGUCAAGGUCUACUUUUGAAACUAAUUUUAAAACUAUUUAGUAGAAAGUUCACGUGCUAGCCUUAACCCAAAUUGAUAAGUUUGACUUGAUAGUUGUACUUUAUCUAUAUGCUAUAUCAUGAAAAAAAAUUGUAUGGGACACGUGUAGUAGGUAUGGGUUUCUUGGAUUGAAUAAGAUAAUAUUAUAGUACAAUAUGAUUAGACCUUUCAUUGCUUCUCACAAGAUCUUGACUUAUCAUGUAUUCUAGAUAAAUUCAAUCAGCAUGUACGUAUUCCAAUUUCCAUAGGAAACCUACCCUAUAAAUACCUCACACACAAAUUUCAUAUAUUAUAUACGGCAGAGAGAUAAUCAGAGAGAGAAAGAAAAAUACAGGCUCACUGUCCGACAGAAAAGCAACCUGAAGAGAGGGGAAGAGAGAGGGAAGUAUUGGAAAUAAAGUUGUCAUACAGCAAAUAUUUUAAUCACGUGUUUUUCAAAGUGGAGAAAGGAUUUUGAACAUGCAUUCAGAUUUUUCUAACGAGGUAAGAUACAUUUAUGUGCAAAGUGUGUUAAGUUUUCUUAUGCUCUUAUAUACAAUUAAUAUGCAUGGAUUAUUAAUGGACCUUUGGGUCCUAGAGAAAGAGAUAUGAUAUUUCUAUGGGAAUUUAAGAGGACCUAAGAUGGGUGUGUCGCUUGGUCACCGAUAUACUCCAUAAGAGAAGAGCGGUAUGAAGUGUAUAAUUUAUUUGUUAUGUAAUUGUGUAUGGAAAUUGCACGUAUCUUAUUGGGUGUUUUUAAAUACUCACUCUUACAUCAAUUUUACAGGUUAGUUCGGGUCGAUUGGAACAGUGGCGCUUUGGUGAUGCGAGUUGCCAAGUGGAUAAAGAAUAGAGAAAAAGAAAUAAGUUUGUUGUUUUAAAUUUACCAGUUAGUUUAAUUUAUUCAGAAUGUGUUAUUUGAAUUAAAUAAAAGUUUAUAUUUAUGUUUAGAUACGAUUUUCACAAUUUAAAUUUAGAUUUAUAAAUGUUGCAG